UAUCUUUAUUUUUAUCCUAGAUGAUUUGGG
rnacentral:piRNA from 1 species